ACCUACCAAAGUUGUUCUUUAAAAUUUUUUUUUAACAUUCAUUUUUUGAGAGUGAGAGAGACAGAGCAUGAGCAGAGGAGGAACAGAGAGAGAGGGAGACACAGAAUCCGAAGCAGGCUCCAGGCUCUGAGCUGUCAGCACAGAACCUGUUGUGGAGCUCGAACUCAACGCACGAACCGCGAGAUCAUGACCUGAGCUGAAGUCAGACGCUUAAUCGACUGAGCCACCCAGGCACCCCCAAAGUAGUUCUUGACCUUUACCCAACCGUGCUGGCUGGGAAUUUUUGACAAAAUGAUGUCUAUCUACCAGAACCUUCCUUCUCCGGCUCACCCUCCUGGGCUUCCUCUUCUAUGACAUCAUUGGGCAGAGAGCUGGCAGCUGUGGGCAGAGUGGAGUGUGUGUGUGUGGGGUUGUUGUCUGUAAAACCCGGGGGCUUCUAGGAAGCCUUACCACUGGAGGAACUACUACAUCUCCACCUGCCUUUGUCCUUAUAGAUGCCGCAUGAGUCUGCUGUGGAGCAGGAACAGGUUAGCCAGCAUCCCCUCUCCUGCCCUGUCUUCUACAGCCUGAGGGUGAGCUGCUAGGAGAGAGUUGAGGACCAAGAGGGCUGCAUGGAGGCCGAAUGAAUCCUGGACAUGUGCUCGCUUCAUGGUCAUCUUCUACUUGAGAUAUUUUUCAGAUAAAUGGAAAAGUGUGGAAGAGAGAAAAAGCAAUCCAUAUUGAAAUCUCCCAAAUGUAACAGAUUUGGAGCCCAAGAACACAUCUUUUAGGGAGGAGGGAGUAUUGUCAUCCUAGAAGACAUUCCCUAUGGCCUUUGGGCCAUUUGGAAAUGGAUGGAACAAGUGGAAUUGCUGUACCCAGUCCCAGUCCCCCUGAGCCGCACCAUGCUUCACAUCCAAUGUUGUUUCUACACAUUUCUUUUAAGAAAAAUAAUAUUUCAAUGCACUUUUGAUUCUGUUACGAGUAAUAACAAUACCUGAUAGGACAUAGGUGAUUUCAUUAACUGUUCUUUCUUUCCAGGUCACUAUGAAAGAUUGAUGAGUAAAUGUGAUAGCACCAACAUCUUUGAGCUUGAUGUGUACAUGUAUUGAAACAUCUCGUUAAGAGAAGCCACCACCAAAUCGUGUUCCUGCAGCAUUUCCGGGUAGCGGGACACCGCUCGCUCAAUCCUCGCCGACCGCCGCACGGGAGUGAUCAGCUUCAUGUCGUGCACUUCUGCUAUUCCACUUAUCCUGUGAGACAGAAAGAGCUAGGGAGGUUGCCCCUGCUUGGCACUCGGCGUCCCCUCCCCCUGGGGCUGGGAGGAAAGGGACGUCGGAUCUGUAAGCGCAGGACAGAUGAAGGUGAAGAGAGAAAGACAAGACUUUUCAGAUUCCGUUUUAUUGGCCAGCUCUUCUAUUGACGUUAUAUUCGUCUUGGCAACUGAAGAGUCAGAGGUAACUCCUGUGUAUGCAAGGUCAAGAAGGAAAGUGAGGUUUAGCAAGUUAAUACUGAAACUAAAAGUCAAUAAAAUAACAGAUCAAUAUAUACAAUGAUUUCUCAAUUAAAAUAAAGAGGAACUGAUUUGAAAUGGGA